AUCUAAGUAGUUUAAGUAAAAUAUUGGUUUGUGGUGCCGAUGAUAUGAGAUUUUGUCUUAGAUU
rnacentral:tRNA from 1 species